rnacentral:lncRNA from 1 species
AUCGUGUAUUUAUGAAUUGAUUCCUGGGUAAAUUCUUAUACAUGAUCAGUGGUUAGCCUUGGGCGGGCAGGGGAGGUCCUGUCCGUUCGGCGUCUGUUCGACGAGCCCGGGCCGAACCAAAUUGGUAACGGUCUCGGGGCGUGACAAUCUCUCUCUCUUUCUUCCCCUCCCCUCAUCUCCAGCUGGCUCCCACCACCUGAUCCUCUCUCUCCUCUCACUACGAUGCCUGCGCUCCUUUCGCCAUGUGAUGAGGUGUAGACCUAGAUGCCUAGGUCGGGUAGGUUCUAUAUGGCUUCUCUCUCUUACCCUAUACCCAUAUUUCUCUCUCUUUCUUCUCUCUCUCUAAUUUUCUCUCCCUACUUCUCUCGCUCUCUAUGCUUUCCCAUCAUGAGGUCUACGCCUACCUACGGA